GAUCAAGCGACUAAGUGCAUGUGGUGGAUGCCUUGGCGAUUACAGGCGAUGAAGGACGUGGCAGCCUGCGAAAAGCUGCGGUCAGCUGGCAACGAGCGUUAACAGCCGCAGAUGU
rnacentral:rRNA from 1 species